CAGCCGCCACGGUAAUACAGAGGGUGCGAGCGUUAAUCGGAUUUACUGGGCGUAAAGCGUGCGUAGGCGGAUUCUUAAGUCGGAUGUGAAAUCCCUGAGCUUAACUUAGGAAUUGCAUUCGAUACUGGGAAGCUAGAGUAUGGGAGAGGAUGGUAGAAUUCCAGGUGUAGCGGUGAAAUGCGUAGAGAUCUGGAGGAAUACCGAUGGCGAAGGCAGCCAUCUGGCCUAACACUGACGCUGAGGUACGAAAGCAUGGGGAGCAAACAGGAUUAGAUACCCGCGUAGUCCCUGUCUCUUAUAC
rnacentral:rRNA from 1 species